AAUAAAACAAAACAAUGAAAAGACAUAAGAGAAAAAAAACAGUUUUCAUUAUUUUUUUACUGAGGCGCCGUCGGAGGAGGAGGAGGAGGAGGAGAACAAACCGUGGCAGCUGAGGAAGAGGAUUGAGAAGCGACGACCCUCGACGGCGCAGGCGCAAAAGCUUUAAAUUGAACAAAAAUAAUUAAAUAAAUAAAUAACAAGAACAAAGAUAAAGAUAAAGAUAAAGAGGAACAUUUAUAAAAGUCAAACUCUCAUUUUAUAUAGAGAACGAAGAACGAAGAGCAAAUAAUUAAUAAUGAAUAAUGGAGGGUGAUGUGCAAAGAGCGAUAAAUUGUGUGUAUAAAGAGUAUGCCGUAAAAGAUUUUUUAAAAAUAAUGUACCCAUACUUUAAGCUACAUAAAUACAUGCACACAAAUGUAUAUGCAGUUUUCAGUCAAAAUGUCAAUUGGUGGUUAAAGCCGGGAAAGCAAACCAAAACCAACCCGAAAUGCGGCACUAACAGACAUAAGGUAUAAUGUAAAAUAGUUAUAAAGUGGAAGCAGACAUGAAGAUAUAUAGAUUGAAAGUGGAGUUGAGGAGAAGUUACGUAGUUACCAUAUACGAAUUGCUUUCCGUUUUUCUCUUACUUAUUAUUGACUUAAAAACAUAUCAGUUCUAAUUAUGUGUAUGAGUAUGCCACACCAUCAAGAAAUACGAUACAACUACAAUUACGAUAAUGAUUACGAUAACGAUUACGACUACGAUAAAAUGAAAUACAAUUUAACUAAUGUAUGUCUAGGCGCUAACGAUCGAAGAAGAAUCUUUCUUUUCACCGAACCACAGCACAAACAAGGAGACAGUUGACACAACCACGUUGAAGCCUCGCUAAAAGGCUCUUGGGAAAUCGAAAGAUCGAUAUCUUCGAUAACAUACAACACCAUACACACACAUUGUGGGCCUUCUACAUACACUUGACGUGCUUUUAUAUGAUAGCAAUCUUUCACCAACACAAGACAACAUUUCUAUGCUCAGUUUUGUUUUUUGUUUUUUUAGACACAUACGCACA